rnacentral:rRNA from 1 species
UACGGGGGGGGCAAGCGUUGUUCGGAAUUACUGGGCGUAAAGGGCUCGUAGGUGGCCAACUAAGUCAGACGUGAAAUCCCUCGGCUUAACUGGGGAACUGCGUCUGAUACUGGCGAGCUUGAGUGCAGGAGAGGAACGCGGAAUUCCAGGUGUAGCGGUGAAAUGCGUAGAUAUCUGGAGGAACACCGGUGGCGAAGGCGGCGUUCUGGACUGCAACUGACACUGAAAAACGAAAGCCAGGGGAGCAAACGGG